UUAUAUGGUCAAGAAGAGAAGCGCAAACGGUGGAUGCCUUGGCAGUAAGAGGCGAAGAAGGACGUGGAAUCCUGCGAAAAGCUAUGGGGAGCUGGAAACGAGCGUUGAGCCAUAGAUGUCCGAAUGGGGGAACCCGGCUGCAGCGAUGCGGUCAUUUGCAUUUGAAUACAUAGGAUGCAAAGGCGAACUCGGGGAACUGAAACAUCUAAGUACCCGAAGGAAAAGAAAUCAAGAGAGAUUCUCCAAGUAGCGGCGAGCGAACGGGGAGGAGCCUGGCGUGAUUUAUUAUUGAACUGAGUAGAACAAUUUGGGAAAGUUGGCGAUAGAGGGUGAAAGCCCCGUAUACGAAGGUUUGAUGAGGAACUAGGCACGCGAACAAGUAGGCCGGGACACGUGAAAUCCUGGUUGAAGAUGGGUGGACCAUCAUCCAAGGCUAAAUACUACUUACUGACCGAUAGUGAACCAGUACCGUGAGGGAAAGGUGAAAAGAACCCCGGAGAGGGGAGUGAAAUAGAAUCUGAAACCGUUUGCGUACAAGCAGUGGGAGCAUGGUUUAGGCUGUGUGACUGCGUACCUUUUGUAUAAUGGGUCAGCGAGUUACUUUCAGUGGCGAGGUUAACUGAAUAAGGGAGCCGUAGAGAAAUCGAGUCUGAAUAGGGCGAUAGUCGCUGGGAGUAGACCCGAAACCGGGCGAUCUAGCCAUGUGCAGGAUGAAGGUUGGGUAACACCAACUGGAGGUCCGAACCGGGUAAUGUUGAAAAAUUAUCGGAUGACGUGUGGCUAGGAGUGAAAGGCUAAUCAAGCCCGGAGAUAGCUGGUUCUCCCCGAAAGCUAUUUAGGUAGCGCCUCGUGAAUGAUUACUGGGGGUAGAGCACUGUUUCGGCUAGGGGGCUGUCAUGGCUUACCAAACCGAUGCAAACUCCGAAUACCGGCUAAUUGAAUCACGGGAGACACACGGCGGGUGCUAACGUCCGUCGUGGAGAGGGAAACAACCCAGACCGCCAGCUAAGGUCCCCAAGUACUAGUUAAGUGGGAAACGAUGUGGGAAGGCAUAGACAGCCAGGAGGUUGGCUUAGAAGCAGCCACCCUUUAAAGAAAGCGUAAUAGCUCACUGGUCGAGUCGGCCUGCGCGGAAGAUGUAACGGGGCUAAAACUAGUCACCGAAGCUGCGGAUGUGCGCGAAGGCGCACGUGGUAGGGGAGCGUUCUGUAAGCUGAUGAAGGUGCAUUGAGAAGUGUGCUGGAGGUAUCAGAAGUGCGAAUGCUGACAUGAGUAACGAUAAUGUGGGUGAAAAGCCCACACGCCGGAAGUCCCAGGUUUCCUGCACGACGUUAAUCGGAGCAGGGUGAGUCGGCCCCUAAGGCGAGGCUGAAGAGCGUAGUCGAUGGGAACCAGGUUAAUAUUCCUGGACUUUUUAUAAGUGGUGAAGUGGGGACGAAGAAGGCUAGGUGAGCCAGGCGUUGGUUGUCCUGGUACUUGCAUGUAGGGGGGAAGACUUGGCAAAUCCGGUUUUCCAUAACUCUGAGGUGCGAAGUGGUUCUGACCUUUUGGUACAGAGAAGUCAUUGAUGCCCGGCUUCCAGGAAAAGCUGCUAGCCAUAACUUAUAGAGAACCGUACCGCAAACCGACACAGGUGGACAGGUAGAGAAUACUAAGGCGCUUGAGAGAACUCGGGUGAAGGAACUAGGCAAAAUGGUACCGUAACU
rnacentral:rRNA from 1 species